rnacentral:rRNA from 1 species
AGCGUCAGCGGCGCUUGCUCGGCGGGAUCGUGCGUCGUCUCGGAUCGGAUUCUUCGGUCCUGGGAUGACGUUAAUCUUUCCAUGCCUUGUUUCGGCGUCGUCGUCGUGCACUUCUUCCCUAGUAGAACGUCGCGACCCGUUGGGUGCCGGUCUACGGUACGAGCGGGUUAGACUGUCGCGUCGCUUAGGCGCACGCGGCAGACCCUCGUUAACCCGGCCGGCUGCCCGGCGGUCGAACUUUUAUAAGGUAUCUUGCCGCAAUUGAACUAAAUGCGUCGCGGCCCGUCGCAAGCGAGGUCAGUUAAGCGUUCAUCGCGCGCGCGGAGUUACGGACCCGGUGCCGUACCCGCGGCUGGCCGGCUGUUGGCAGACGGAGUCCUUCGACGGGCAAUACACACAAACGAUACCGGUCUGCGACGCUACUGCUUUGGGUACUCUCAGGACCCGUCUUGAAACACGGACCAAGGAGUCUAACAUGUGCGCGAGUCAUUGGGACUGCGAAGCCUAAAGGCGAAAUGAAAGUGAAGGUCGCGCCAACCAAGGUCGACCGAGGGAGGAUGGGCCGCGUUUGCGCGCGGCUCCGCACUCCCGGGGCGUCUCGUUCUCAUUGCGAGAAGAGGCGCACCCAGAGCGUACACGUUGGGACCCGAAAGAUGGUGAACUAUGCCUGGUCAGGACGAAGUCAGGGGAAACCCUGAUGGAGGUCCGUAGCGAUUCUGACGUGCAAAUCGAUCGUCGGAACUGGGUAUAGGGGCGAAAGACUAAUCGAACCAUCUAGUAGCUGGUUCCCUCCGAAGUUUCCCUCAGGAUAGCUGGCACUCGUUCGUUUAUAAUUGAACGUAAAGGAGUCUCAUCUGGUAAAGCGAAUGAUUAGAGGCCUUGGGGCCGAAACGACCUCAACCUAUUCUCAAACUUUAAAUGGGUGAGAUCUCUGGCUUGCUUGAAAUAUGAAGCCACGAGAGAGAUAUUUCGGAUCAGAGUGCCAAGUGGGCCAAUU